GGGGCCCCAUAGGCCUCUGCCAUGGACCCAGAAGGACCUGCCUUGUGGCCUGGACUUUCCUGUCAGUUUUUCCUGCCUGUCCAACAUGCCCUGCCCAGAGUUUGUGUUCAGAUAGGCCAUUGGGAGUGAAGAGGUCUUUUCAGGGGGCUUGGUGCCUAUUUUCCAGGAUAGGGUCAGUAAGCAUGGCCCAUUUCCCACUUGGCUUCAGGUUCAUUCUGCUGUUUCUGUCCCAACUCAGAGUCCCUAAAAGACUGAUUUGCCUAAUUGCUGAUGAUAAUUCCCAGAAACCCCAGCAAUGUUAGAGAUAGCACUGGUUAACUGGGCUCCUACCUUAACUAUGCUUCAUCCUGAUCUUCUGCAGUUUGGCUGGAGGUGUCUUGCCUUUUUUUUUUUUUUCAUUGCAAAUGUUAUAUAUGACACGACAGGAAACAUCACCAGGUGACAUUGCUUCAUUUUUGCUCUUUGUUUUGCUCUUUGUUAGAGCUGUGAUUACAGUGUGAACUCCGUUUUGAGUCUUUUCUCGCCUACUUGGCCACAGUCAGUAUUAACAGUAGUUUCUCUGAAUUGGACUAACUGGUGUAAUCAGACGCUAAGAUUAUUUAGGUUUUAGGUACUGUAAGUUAUGCGGUGAGCACUACAGAACUCUUUCAAAUUGAUCACUACUUAGAGACAUGGGCUCAGAGGCAGGUGUGUUUUCUGCUCUCUUACGGUGGCUAAUUGGUGAUGUAUUCUACAGUUUAAGUGCAUGUAGCAGUGAGAACUGCCAUCUGUAGCCCCUAUGUGCCCAGUGCCAUGUUUUGUACAUUAUAUCAAUUCACAUUCAUAAAUACACUUUGGCUAUACUGGGAUUUGAGUCCAAGACCGUAGGGCCUGAUCUCAAAGUCAGCAUUCUUUGUCCUGUUCCCUUGCCACUAAACUCCCUUCCUGUUCCUUGGCCUACUUACUGAAUCAUUUUUUUUCUCCUCACAGGCUGAUGAAGACCCCAUCAUGGGGUUCCACCAGAUGUUCCUAUUAAAGAACAUCAACGAUGCUUGGGUUUGCACCAAUGACAUGUUCAGGCUUGCCCUGCACAACUUCGGCUGACCUCCUCCCAGCCAGGCACUCAUGCUGUUUCCUCCUCCCUCCUCUCCCCAAUAUUAUUCACACUCCUACAGAUGCUCCAAAUAUCAUACACAAAUGAGCAGGGCCGCGGUGGGAGCGGGCGCAGUGCGCUGCUGCUACUGGGGUAUUGUGCAUGAUGUUUGGACGCUAGACUAGUUGCAUCUGACAGGAGAAGUUUGUGUUGUACCAGCGCAUGCCUUGGAAAGACUUAAGUAAUGCAAAAGGUUGUUUUUUUUUGUUUUUUUUUGUUUUUUGUUUUUUAAUCUACUGACAAGUUGCUCUAGUAACCCAAAGAAGUGAAGGAGAAAGCAGCUGCCUCACCGCCCAGAUAUUGAUUUGUUCGGAUGUUUCAAUGCCUCAUGAUACAAUAAAACCACAAAAAUUUUCUUAACAGUUUAAAUCGUUUUAAUGAGUUUAAUAGUUGGCUGGGCAUCAAUAACUACCCUGCCCCCUUGUCUCUCUCAUGUCUCACCUUCCCACCUCUCCCCCCAACUCAGCAAUACAUGUUACAGAGAGAAACUGCUGAAGCAGCACUCCCAGAUAGCUUCUCUCAGAAGCCUUUAGGGCAUAGUAUGCCCCACCUCAGCCCACCUGGUCCUGGAAAACUGAGCUGCAGACAGAGCUUGGGUCUGGCCUGAAGCUUCCCUUGCACUGAAGCCUUUGCAGUCACUUCUGACAACUCCUACAUUGGGUAGGUCAGGGCUCUGGUAAUAGAGAUGAUCUAGAAUCCCACUGAAAAUGACUCAUUAAGCUCAGGUGCUCUGGGCUGAGGGCUCAGCAAAACUACCCUGUAUAAAAUGAGCAAAGGUUUGAGGGAGAAUAUCCUGUUCUACCCCCAGAACAGUCAGGAUCACAUCCAGGGGGCCCCAUAAACCCCAAGCCAAGCAGAGGGCAGCUCCAGUUUUGUAUCCAGUUUUGGAUAUCCUUGCCCAGAGGUGAGUGCCCAGAACAGUCAGCCUCCAUUUGCCUGCAGAGUGCAGAGCCAGGCCCAGUUGGGCUGGGGUACAGAUCUAGAGCUAUGAAAGUAGGCAGUCUGAGACUGAGGGAUUUGUGCUUUGGGACUUCAUACCCCUCAGACCUUUGCAAGGCAACUCUAGGCCUUCUGUUUCCUGCCUCACCACAUACCUUCACGUUUUCUUCAAGUCCCAGGAAAUAUUAACUAUCAGGGCAGUUUCUGCUCAGUUUGGGGGACAGAGGCCUUGCCCGUUACAAAUCUAGCCCUUAGCCCUAAGACCUCUGGUGUUAUAAAGUCUGGUGGCAAGAUCGCAACCAAAAGCUAGAACCAAACCCAAGUCUUGGGCUGGUGCCCUGCUAGGGGUUUUAAGAUUGGUGAGGGCUCCACAGUUAAGCCUGACCUGUACUCCCCUUUCCCCCUGCACUAUGGAUGGAGGCCAAGGACUUCCUCAGACCCCCCACAAGUUGCCUGGCUACCCUCGGUAGAGGGUUGGAUGAUGAAUUGUGUUUAGAAGACCACACUUAGGAGAUUUCAGUGGGACUGAUUUAGGAUGCUAUGUGUUUGGGGAAUGGGGGUCCGGAGAGAGGUAGAUGCCUGCUGCCUCUUAAACCACCCUGUAUAAAAUCUGCAAUACAGCUUCUUCCAUGUACCUGUGCCUGAAAUUUCUGCAAUAAAGAGGUGUUUGUAAA
rnacentral:lncRNA from 1 species